rnacentral:lncRNA from 1 species
CUCCCAUCAUCUCUAAUAAACUAAACGCGAAUGAAUAGAAAAUAAGCAAAUGUCACUUAUAAGACACCAAAACAAUUAAGAAACACGUUUGUUGAAUAUAAAGAAGUUAACGGGUUAAAUAUGAGCACCAAAUAUGUGGCAAGGAGUUUUUUUAAAGAAGCUCAGCAAUUUCCUGUUUAAACUUGGGAAAACAGAGACGUGUCCAGUAACACAGAUGCGUUAAAACAUGCAAACCAAUUGUCUCCUAACACAUAAAUAUCCCUUAUGAUUUUCUGUAUGGUUCAUUGUAAGAGUUAAAGCGGGUUAAAGAAAAAGGUAUGUUCAGCGGGGAAGGAGAGACUUGUUUUGAGAGGAGCUGAGGACUGACUGCCCAUGGUGGAUGGGCGGAGCAGCAAGCAUGCGCUGAGCUGGCAGAGACGGGGCUAGUCUGCUGCGCGCAAGGAGAGGGAGAUCACGGGCUGGCUCGGGUCUUCUCAGACGGACGCGGGGAGACCACCUUACCAAGCACGUCUCCUUGAGGACUAAAUAGGCGAGAACAGAAAAGAGCAAGAGAGAGAGUGAGAGACAGACAGGGAGAAAUAGAAUAAUAGAAAGCUAUAAGGACAACACCUCCGUUUGUAACCACAGGGAGUCGGCAUCUGGAAACAUAACGAGUGAAGAAGACCCCCCUCGCGACAUCUCUCGGCUCUGUGUCUCCCAGCGCACCCCUCCUAUAGCCUACUCCCUGGAGAACGACCACCCAUUGAACACCCUAAUUGACCAGCGUUGCCAUUAAGCGAUGUACUUUGAAUCCAAGACGAAACCGAACGCGUCAUUUUGAUGCACAUUCUACAACCAGUGAUCUUCAUUUUCCAAAACGGAACAGUUUAGACUGUGGACACAGUUUGGGGUGUUUAGCCUAAAUUUAACGGGUUUCUGGCGACGUGAAAUUAUCUCAUCCCCGGUAACUGACAUCAACAAUAUACGAUUAUCUCGUAUUGCUUGUGGAAGAGUCUUAUCAUCUUCGUUUAUUCCAUUUUCUAUUUUCUUUUUCAAACCAAUGGUCUGGGAACGGACCGCCUCACCCGACACAUAGUCUUUUAUUUAGACGUGUCAGCUUCGUCUAGUGCUUUGAACGAGGACAACAUUACAGAAUUGCAAGGGGAAAUUGUCAUCGAGAGGCUUUUGCACCAAAAUACUGAGUGGAAAGUUUGUUGCCGGAGAGGGAAUAAAUCGGAGACAUCUCGGCCAUAUCCACGGGAUUUUUCCCUAAGCGUGGUGCGGUGGCGGUAAUGCGGUGACGCCCCAGCUUGGCGAGCAAACUCCAGACCCUGUGAUUGCAUGCAGGAGUCGGAGAAUUGCAUCACUGCCUGAGUGCCUGUGGGGAGAGGCCAUGGGAGCCGACUGACUGAGAGGGAAGGAGAGGAGGGGACAAGAUGGAGUGGGAGACGGGAGAGAGUGAAUGGAUGGACAGUGUGUGUGUGUGUGUGUGAGAGAGAGAAAGAGCGAGAAAGAGAAGGUUUGGGAUGGACAGAGUGACUGGGAAAGGUAUUGAGAGAAAGAUGAAGAGAAAAGGAGGGGGUUAAGGAGGAAUAGAAAGGAAGAACAGGCAAUAACUGAAAAAGAGAGGAAUGACUCCCAGGGAGUGGAGUGGAGUGGAGUGAGAGUGAGAGUGAGAGUGAGAGUGAGAGUGAGAGAGAGAGAGAUUUUAUAAAACCUUUAUUUUAUA